AGCAGCCGCCGCGGGAAUACGGAGGGAGCUAGCGUUGUUCGGAAUUACUGGGCGUAAAGCGCACGUAGGCGGUUAUUCAAGUCAGAGGUGAAAGCCCGGGGCUCAACCCCGGAACUGCCUUUGAAACUAGAUGACUGGAAUCUUGGAGAAGUCAGUGGAAUUCCGAGUGUAGAGGUGAAAUUCGUAGAUAUUCGGAAGAACACCAGUGGCGAAGGCGACUGACUGGACAAGUAUUGACGCUGAGGUGUGAAAGCGUGGGGAGCAAACAGGAUUAGAUACCCGAGUAGUCCCUGUCUCUUAUAA
rnacentral:rRNA from 1 species